CUCCUGCCUGCUGGGGUUCAGGGCCAUGACCUGUACGGUCACAGAGUUUCGAGACACGGUGCCACCACUGUGUCCUGGAGGCCACACCUUGUGGGUCUGCAUGUGUUUCUUAACAUUAGACUUCUGGGCAAAGGCACGGCCACAUGCAAUGCACUGGAAGGGCUUCUCACCGGUGUGGCGUACCUUCGGAUGUGCUGCUGCAGGUCAAAGUUUUUGGUGAAUGACUUGUCACAGUAUGAGCACUUGAGUUUCUGAGCCUUUGGCUUCCCUGCAGCU
rnacentral:lncRNA from 1 species